rnacentral:lncRNA from 1 species
AGCCUUCUCCCAGUAACUCAACAUAUCAGACAGCAAUCCCACAUAAGACCCCUUUCCCAGAAAUGGCCAUCACCAGAGCAAAUCUUCCACCUCUCCUACGCGCCGCCACCGCACUCCCCCCUCCCCACAUCCCCCACCACAACUCUCCGACGUCCUUUCUCCGCUCUCACCCUCCCAACAUCCUUAUUCCAAACCCCCACUUGUUCUCCACCUUCCUUUACCCCCGAAGCAUAUCCAACCCUUUAAACCUCAUCAUUUCAAAUCACCACUUGCUCUACCGGAGCCUGCAUACACACGCCACCGCUCUUCACAAGCGUCAAACAACUUACAACAUCUUGCGAUACGCUCUAACUUUCGGUUGCAUUGCAACAGCAGGAGGGACAAUCCUGUUCUACAAAAAUCGAGAAAAACCAAGAAUUUCCACAACCUUAAAUCGUAAAAUGGAAGUCAGAUUUCUUGGCAUAAUACCACAUAAGUACCGUAAGGGACACUGCGUGGUCAUUGAGGGUCUGGCUCGGCCUUAUGCUAAAAAUGUCAGAGCCAAUGGUCCUUGGGAAUUCUAUCUCUCAGCUACAGAGGUGUUAGCUCAGCAUGAUCAUGUUGUCACCGCCUUUCAAAGGAAUGAGACAAUUCUUACAGUGAAGAAAAUAUACUCUGAGGACAGCGAUAGAAUUCUUGCAUCCAAUCGGUACUCGUCUUAAAUUUUAUCGUAUUUUCAAUUUAUUAACGUUUUUCUCCAUUUUCUAUUGCAAGAAAAGAUAGUCAUUUUGUUUGUGCCUUUAAUAUGGUUUGAUUUAGGCGCACAGCUUCUAGCGGUGAUUUCUUUACCCCUGCCGAUGAUUUGUUGAAGUCUGAUCCUAAAAUGAUUGUGUUCAAGUUAGACUCAGAGUAUGAUUCCAAAGCUACUCAAUUUGUUCUGUUUACCUUAGAUAAGUUCCAAGACUUGUCCAAGUUGUUGGGAGAUGGACACUCGGUUUUUAUUAAGGGUUUUACCAAUCUACCUUUGAACUCGGUCAAGUCUGGCGAUAUUGCCGAGAUUAACAAAGUUAAUUCAGAUGAUAAUUGGCCUAAAAUCGUGACAGGCAAAACUGAAAAAAUGGAAUAUCUCUUCUUAGCGGAGGCGAUAGCGAAGGACGAUGAGAGGUAUAUGUCACGGGAAGCUACUACUGCAAUUCGGCGGAAUACUGCGGAGUAACAAAAAGGCCGUGGCAAAGAAGAAUGGUUGUCAAAUUGUAUUUCUUAACGGUAACGUUGGGGCAUCUCCAAUUUAAAGACAACUUUAUCAAUUAUAAGCUCAAAAUUCAUAAAAAAUGUUUCCAACUAUUACUAACUCUAUCUUUGUAGAUGAAGUAAUCAACUCUUCAAUUUUUCAAAUUUGAAGAUGCAAUAUAGAAAUGAAGUAAUUAUAAUAAAGAAAGCAUAUGCAAUUUUGAUUUUACACAUUUUUCGAGAUAUGGAGUUCUUUUGCAUGUGUAAUUGUAAUAGUGAUAUAAAGUGAAGAAUGUGAAAAUAAAAAGAUAAAAUUAUUUUAAAAUAGAGUUUUGAUUGGAGAAGGCCUUACACUCUCUGAAUCUUUGCAGUAAUUUUGCGCCUAUACUCUAAUAUUUGGUCUUUGCACAAAGACUUCUAAGCUUACUCGAAAAGAUUUCUGAAACAGUUCUAGGUAUAAUGAAGGUAUUUUUCAGAAUUAUUUAAUGGUUGAUUUUGUUGCAAAUUUCUGAGUUCAUGAUUCUAAAACUCGUCGAUUUGACAAAUUAAUCCUAAGGUACUCUGCUGAUUCAAUUUUUCAAAUCCGAUUAAUCACAACAUAUUUCCUAAAAUGAAUAUAAUAAAUUUAAUAAAAUCAAAGUUUUAAUACAAUGAAUCGAUGUUCCAAUUAAUUAUUUUGGCUAAUCACUAAUUAGAGUAUGUGAUUAAUUUUUGAACAAUGUCGCCGAUGACUUCCUAUUUUCAACUUUUACUGGGCUGAGGUAAUAAUCCAAAAUAUAGACAUAUACAUAUAAUGUUAGGGUCGCGCUUAUGAGAAAAUCAAUAUUUAAAAUAAAUACAUAGAACUACUAAGGUUCUACUGUAGAACCCUAUACUUUACAUAGAUUUUCAGGAUCUAAAUAUAAAUACUUUUUUUUAUUUUUGCAUCGUUGUGUGUUGAAAAGUAAUUUCAAAAUAUAAUGGAUACAUAAGACAUUUUUUUAUAUACAGUUCUGCUGCAGAAUCUAACUAUGGUAUUCAAUUGGGAUUUUAAAUUAUGCUUUAAAAUCCGAUGGUAUUCAAUUGGGAUUGUUUAAAAUCCAUUAAAAUCUGAUGGUAUUCAAAUGCUGAUGGAUUUUUUUUCAUUUCAUAAAAUGAUGGAUUUUGUGGCAUUCUUCAGUGUAUUUUAAAUUUUUUGAAAUCUCAUCAAAUUCAAUGGGAUUUUGAAGCAUUGUAUCUAAAUCCUAUCAACUCUGCGACAUUUCAUCAAGAAUCCGCACAAAAUCAAAAUCUCAUACAAUCCAUUAAAAUUCAUAGACUAAAAACAAUGCAUUAAAAUCCUAAUCGAAUACACCACUGUAAUUAUACUUGAAAAGAUUUCUGAACAGUUCUGGGUUUGGAUAAUAUUUUUUGUGUUUGCAACUUAUUAGAUAUAAAAUCAUUAAUAUAAUAAUAAAUUAUUUUCAAUUAUUUUUUAAAUUGGUACUCUACAUAUUUUUAAAAUUAAUUUUCAAAAAUAAAAAUAUUAUUUUUGAAAUUUCUUAACUUUACAACACAUUGUUGCAGUACAUGAUCCCUCCGUUUUAAAAUAUAGGUCGCUUGACUUUUUGGCAUACACUUCCAAGUCAUUUGACCGCUUAGUUAAAAUCAUUAAUUUCAAAAUUUUCGUUUUCUAAAUUAUAAUAUUAAUCAUAUAUUUUUAUUCAGAAAAAGAAAUUUUGAAAAUAACAAUUUUAACUAUACGCUUAGUUACAAAAUUAUAUUUUAUAUACACCUUAAAAUGUGUGUCAAACAGUGUAAAAAAAUUAUAAAGAAAUAAGAGGGAUAUAGGGAGUAAUAUUAUGACAUUCCAUAUUUUUCGGUAAAAAGUUGGCUUCUACUUUCCUAACUUGUUUGUGUAAAAAGACCGAAAGCACUUAUAAAAAGUUGAGAACGGUAGUUUAUUCAGGACUUCUAAUUUUUUCAUAAACAGUUUAUUCACUUAUAAAUCUUAAUUUAAUUUUCAAUUCUAAUCUAUUUUUUUAAUUUUUUAAGGAAAAAGUACUUUUUUAGGAUUGCCCAAACGAACUCAUAUUCAAUUUUUGAAUUCAUCAGUUUACAUGGGAUCAUCUUCUGAAAGAACUUAUUUAAUUUAUGUUUAUAUUUCAAAAUAUACAUUAAGAGCAUCUCCAAAGGUUGAAAACUGUUAGCUAAAAAUCUUAUAUGCCAUCCUAUGUAUGUAUCAUCUAGGUGGCCUUUUUAGAUAAUAUGUAUAAAAAAUUGCAUUCCAACCAUCACCCCUUAGCAAAAAAAUUAUAGAUAACAAAGUGUCAUUCAAUGAAUUUGUUGAACCAAAAAAUCUAUUAGGUAUAAUUUUAGCUUAUAGUAAUUAUGAAUAACACCAUUGGAGUGUAAACCUCAAUUGUUAGAAAAAAAUUUGUAUAGUCCAUUUAGAUAAGUAUUAUAGCUAAUGAGUUUAGAUACCUUUGGAGAUGCUCCAAUGUGCUUUAUUUUUAUCUCUAUAAUAAUAACACUACAAAUCACCUAAUUUAGAGUAAUAUAUCAUCAUAAAUAUAUCUACUUCUCCGAUCCACAAUUCCCACUUGACAAAGUUUCCUUCCGGCUCUCUUUUUUGCUAUUUUAUAUGACGAAAAUGAAGUGUCCGAAUAAUAUAAAAAAUUUAUGCGCGAUCAGGAUGGGGUUGUUGUGCUUCCAACGCUUAAAAAACACUACGCCUGAGAAUAUAUUUUCUCGUCUAACAUUUAAAAAAAGAUUAACAGUACACAUUUAGCAAUUUUUAAACACCAGAGGAGAAUAUUGUUUCUUUUAGUCAUAUACGUCCCUCGCCAAAUCCCACAAUAAAGAAGUUGUAUUUUAUUUAAACCCCACUAAUUAAUUGAUGAGAACCCGCCUCUAAAUAUAUAGAUAGACUCGUAUAUUCAUUUUCCUCGGUAACAUUUUGUGUCACAGUCUGAGGAAAUGACUACAGACCAAUUAAAGCAAAUAUUCCCUUCACUUUCUAAUACUUUCUAAUACAAAAAUCCUUUCGAGUAUAUAUAACCCCUGUGGCAUAUACUUUUGUAUCAAAUUUUCAUACAGCCUUCUCCCAGUAACUCAACAUAUCAGACAGCAAUCCCACAUAAGACCCCUUUCCCAGAAAUGGCCAUCACCAGAGCAAAUCUUCCACCUCUCCUACGCGCCGCCACCGCACUCCACCCUCCCCACAUCCCCCACCACAACUCUCCGACGUCCUUUCUCCGCUCUCACCCUCCCAACAUCCUUAUUCCAAACCCCCACUUGUUCUCCACCUUCCUUUACCCCCGAAGCAUAUCCAACCCUUUAAACCUCAUCAUUUCAAAUCACCACUUGCUCUACCGGAGCCUGCAUACACACGCCACCGCUCUUCACAAGCGUCAAACAACUUACAACAUCUUGCGAUACGCUCUAACUUUCGGUUGCAUUGCAACAGCAGGAGGGACAAUCCUGUUCUACAAAAAUCGAGAAAAACCAAGAAUUUCCACAACCUUAAAUCGUAAAAUGGAAGUCAGAUUUCUUGGCAUAAUACCACAUAAGUACCGUAAGGGACACUGCGUGGUCAUUGAGGGUCUGGCUCGGCCUUAUGCUAAAAAUGUCAGAGCCAAUGGUCCUUGGGAAUUCUAUCUCUCAGCUACAGAGGUGUUAGCUCAGCAUGAUCAUGUUGUCACCGCCUUUCAAAGGAAUGAGACAAUUCUUACAGUGAAGAAAAUAUACUCUGAGGACAGCGAUAGAAUUCUUGCAUCCAAUCGGUACUCGUCUUAAAUUUUAUCGUAUUUUCAAUUUAUUAACGUUUUUCUCCAUUUUCUAUUGCAAGAAAAGAUAGUCAUUUUGUUUGUGCCUUUAAUAUGGUUUGAUUUAGGCGCACAGCUUCUAGCGGUGAUUUCUUUACCCCUGCCGAUGAUUUGUUGAAGUCUGAUCCUAAAAUGAUUGUGUUCAAGUUAGACUCAGAGUAUGAUUCCAAAGCUACUCAAUUUGUUCUGUUUACCUUAGAUAAGUUCCAAGACUUGUCCAAGUUGUUGGGAGAUGGACACUCGGUUUUUAUUAAGGGUUUUACCAAUCUACCUUUGAACUCGGUCAAGUCUGGCGAUAUUGCCGAGAUUAACAAAGUUAAUUCAGAUGAUAAUUGGCCUAAAAUCGUGACAGGCAAAACUGAAAAAAUGGAAUAUCUCUUCUUAGCGGAGGCGAUAGCGAAGGACGAUGAGAGGUAUAUGUCACGGGAAGCUACUACUGCAAUUCGGCGGAAUACUGCGGAGUAACAAAAAGGCCGUGGCAAAGAAGAAUGGUUGUCAAAUUGUAUUUCUUAACGGUAACGUUGGGGCAUCUCCAAUUUAAAGACAACUUUAUCAAUUAUAAGCUCAAAAUUCAUAAAAAAUGUUUCCAACUAUUACUAACUCUAUCUUUGUAGAUGAAGUAAUCAACUCUUCAAUUUUUCAAAUUUGAAGAUGCAAUAUAGAAAUGAAGUAAUUAUAAUAAAGAAAGCAUAUGCAAUUUUGAUUUUACACAUUUUUCGAGAUAUGGAGUUCUUUUGCAUGUGUAAUUGUAAUAGUGAUAUAAAGUGAAGAAUGUGAAAAUAAAAAGAUAAAAUUAUUUUAAAAUAGAGUUUUGAUUGGAGAAGGCCUUACACUCUCUGAAUCUUUGCAGUAAUUUUGCGCCUAUACUCUAAUAUUUGGUCUUUGCACAAAGACUUCUAAGCUUACUCGAAAAGAUUUCUGAAACAGUUCUAGGUAUAAUGAAGGUAUUUUUCAGAAUUAUUUAAUGGUUGAUUUUGUUGCAAAUUUCUGAGUUCAUGAUUCUAAAACUCGUCGAUUUGACAAAUUAAUCCUAAGGUACUCUGCUGAUUCAAUUUUUCAAAUCCGAUUAAUCACAACAUAUUUCCUAAAAUGAAUAUAAUAAAUUUAAUAAAAUCAAAGUUUUAAUACAAUGAAUCGAUGUUCCAAUUAAUUAUUUUGGCUAAUCACUAAUUAGAGUAUGUGAUUAAUUUUUGAACAAUGUCGCCGAUGACUUCCUAUUUUCAACUUUUACUGGGCUGAGGUAAUAAUCCAAAAUAUAGACAUAUACAUAUAAUGUUAGGGUCGCGCUUAUGAGAAAAUCAAUAUUUAAAAUAAAUACAUAGAACUACUAAGGUUCUACUGUAGAACCCUAUACUUUACAUAGAUUUUCAGGAUCUAAAUAUAAAUACUUUUUUUUAUUUUUGCAUCGUUGUGUGUUGAAAAGUAAUUUCAAAAUAUAAUGGAUACAUAAGACAUUUUUUUAUAUACAGUUCUGCUGCAGAAUCUAACUAAUAUUAAAAAUAUUGCGGGAAAAUAUUUUGAGAUAUUAACAAUUGUUUGUAGUUGAUUCUUGUGUUAUAGGAACUAGUGCAGCGGCGACACACUUUUAGCAUCAGUUUUUUAGAAACGGUUGAUUAGUGUGUGCCCAUGGGCACAUGCUAAGUACGAAAAUUUUUGUAUUUGUGAUAUUUUGAUUAGUGUGUGUUUGGUGUAUUUGCAGGGGGAGUCCAUCAUUAUCAUGAGAUAGGAGCCAAUCAAAAUGAUCCAAAAACAAAAUUUUCCGCGCUCAGCAUGUGUCUAUGGGCACACCAUAGAAAAAUGGUUUUAGAAAAAUGACACUUUUAUAGCUUAUAUGUGUUGGAUGUUCAAACGGUUAAUGACAUAUGUGCUUAUUUUUUCCGGAGAAUAUUUAUAUGCGUCGGGAUUGUAAAUGCUGACACUUAAAAAUAUUAAUAACAUCAGUUUUUAACAAUCGGAGCUUCAUUUUGUACUCAAGGAGGGGGUUAAUACUCUAUUUCAUCAUUUUAUUGGAUCAUAACUUUCAGUUGGCCUGCCGAGUCAAAAAAGUUUUUCAUUUAGAUAACAAAGCAUCUAAAAACUUUCAAUCACGAGAUUAAGUAUAAAAAAACAUUUCAGUGUCGUUAAAUAUGUCUUUGACUUUAACGGAAAACGUCAAAUUUAACGGUAUUGCAUGUUUUUGGCUUGUACUAUGUCUUGAGAUUUGUGAUCAGGCCUUCGACGGAUCAAGCAGUUGUUACAAUGGACACGAUCAAGCACACCCAGCUCAAAAUCUUGACCCACACCCAGGUGAAGGAGAACUUUGGUAUCUUUGCUCACGCAGUGUCCAUUUCUAUUGAGAAAUAACCCUCCUGAUCUCCCUCCUGAUCUUGUGUAGGCCUUCUAUUUGCACGGGCCAUGAUAGAGGAAUUCGGACCAGCUACAAAAUAAUAACUGAGCUUGAAUAGAAAGUUUCACUUAGCAAGUUACCAUCAAAGUUUUGUAGGCAGCUUUCAUAUACAAAUAUAUAAACCCAUCAGAUACUUGAUAAAUACAUGAAAAAUGUACAACGUAUAGUAAGCCAAAUUUACUAGGGGCUUAGUCUCAAAGUAGACAGAAAGGGGGGGGGUAAAAAAAAAAGCAGAGCAGAUGUUCGAAAUCCGAUCCAAAUCUUUUGGCCAACAAGAUUGGAUGAAACCUCUUACUAAACAAUAAAAUUUUACAAAAGGGGUAACAAAAGAAAAAGCUAACCAGCACCAGGAGGGGUUUCACCAGGUGACAAGAAAUAUAAUAUAAGUAUUCAAUAUGAAAUUACUGUAAUCCUUGAUGAUUUGAACUUUGAAGCACUGCAUGAUAUAUGCACAUUUUAACUUUGAAUAAAUUCUUAUAAACAGAUCAUCUCCAAGCGACUACUCUCCCUUGCCUCGGUCAUGCACCUUAAUGAGCUUCAAAGCCAACUUAUCCAACCAAAUUGCUUGUAAAGUUGUCUUUUACUUGGUAGGCCAAUUAAAAGUUUUUAAUGGUACAAUUAGUUGACUAAAAACUUUUUUGACUCGGUAGCCCUACUGAAAGCUUUGGUCUAGUAGAGUGAUGAAAUAGAGCAUUAACCCCUCAAGGAGGUGACAAGCUUUAAUGAAUAUUGUUGUCUAUAAAUUAUACGAUGGUGAAAUCGACGUUAUUAGCUAUAUUUUAUGUGCCAGCGACGAAAGCGAGUACUCUCUUUCAAAAUAAUAGUAUUUUCAAUUUACACGUAAUUUGAGAUGUAAAAAGAACGUAUUUUUAUAAAAAAAAAAUUCAGAUUUUUUCUGAAUCAAAAUACAUUUUAGAUAUAAUUUUAUUACAAAAAUAAAAUUUCAGUAAUAAUAAUAAUAAGUUUGAAUAUACAUAUUUUUUGCACAUUCGCAAAAUGUUAAUGUGAUUAUUAUUUUGGACGUGUUUUGUUUGUGCAAGGCUGCCCAGCUUAUUUAUUUAGCGGACGUUUGGGUGAGUUUAAAAUAAGUGCUUCUUGCUUAAAAAUAAAUAGUGGAGUAGAAGUUAGAAGCAAGUUAAGACUUAUAAGUGAUUAAAGUGUUUGGGAAAUAAGCAGAAGCCCUAAAACAAAAGCUAGCAUUCCUAGUUUUUUAUAAGUACUUUUUGACUUUUUACACAAACAGUACGAAAUAAGUGAUUCUGACUUAUAAACCAGAAGCCGGAAACAAACACCCCGUAAUCUCAUGUUUCUCAUGUUUGUAAUUGAAGGACGUAAAUGGUUUAUAAUCGGGGCUUGGAUCAUCAACUUCCAACAUUAUUAUUACGACUACGUAAUAGACUGCAUAGUCUUUUUUUUUUCUUUUUUUUUUUGUCAGGAGACUGCAUAGUCUUCUGAAUAUAUCUACUUAAUUCCAUGAUAAUUCGUACUAUAACUUUUUUUUACAAAUAAAUUAUCAGCCUGGAGUCUACACUAGCUAGCUGGAUAUGCCAUGCUUGAUUUGAUGCAUCCACGGUGAUCAGUGGGUUGGCAAAAAGAAUAGGCAAGGAAGAAAGACUUGGUUGGAAAGAAAAAAUUGGACUUGCCAUAUGCAAAUAUAUAUGAUUGACCUGACGGUCCUGCCUGAAUAAAAAGGUUCGGGUUUUAUGGAGUAUCUUAGGUUUGAAAAGAUAGGCCUGUACAAUUCAUCUACAGUUUCGUAACUCUCUUAGCUGGCGUUGAGUUGGAAUAAAUUAAAUGAGCAAAGGAUGUUAUAGAAUUUCUAAAUAAAUUGUACUCCUAUUUUAAUUUAGAUGUCCAGUUUGGAAAAAAAAAAUUACUCCCUACAUCCCAAAUUAAAUGAGUUCGUUGACUUCGGGCACACACUUUAAAGUCCAUUGACCGCAUAACUACAUUAUUUAUUUUUAGAAUUUUAUUUUUGUAAAUAAAAAUUCAAAUAUGAAAUUUUGUUUAUAAAAGAAAAAUUUUAAAAAUAAAUUUUGGAGCUAGUCGGUCAAUCCACCUUAAGUUACGUGCCCAAAAUCAACUAGCUCAUCUAAUUUAGGAUGAAGGUAGUAUGUUUCAAAUUACUUAUUCACUUCAAAUUUCAAUGCAAAACUAUAUUUCCAAAGUCAAUUCUACUCCACAUAUCUCUUAUUUAUAUUUUUUAGAUCAAUCUCACACCAUAUAAAUCAUUUAAUGCAGUUAAUAUGUGAACAACCACUUUUCUUAAAUUGUGUGAUUUUUCGAAAGUAGACAUUUAUUUUGAAAUGGAGGGAGUAUUAAAAAAUAUGUGAUUAUAUGACACACAUAUAUAUAUACACACACACCCACAUAUAUGUGUGUGAGAGAGAUUUAAAGUGAUAAAGAUAAACUAGUCUAAAUUUUUUUAUAAUGAAAAUUAUAGUAAAACAAGAUUAAAAAGUAGAAUUAACAUUCAUUUCAAAAUAUCCGAGUUAAAUUUCUAGUUCAAAUAGUUAAAAUUAGUGAUUGAAAAAAAUAAAAAUUACAUAUAUAUUUUUUAUGAUCACUCUCAGUUUAAAGUAUAAAUUGCAUUAUAUUCUCCCUUCAUUUCAUUUGAUCAUUUAUUCAUUUCAUUCAAUUCAAGUGAAAUUAGUUUUAAGUUAUGUUAUUGAUUAUGUCUAUGAUAACUUACCGUAAAAGUUGAAUAUUUUUCCCAAUAUAUGGAAAGACGUGUUUUUUUCAAAAACAACUAUUUUUAGAUUAAUCAAACAAAAUUUAACUUUUUUUAGAAAAAAAGAAAGUGUUGGUGCAAUAAAAUAAAACAAGGCCUUAAUUAUGUUCAAAUCAAUGGUUUCUAUUUUAUUUGAGUUCAGUUCAAUUCGGGUUUUAGCAUGUUUGAAAUCAGCCCGAAAUUUAAAAAGGAAAAUAUUGAAUUUCUCAAACUACACGAAAUUGAGUACACAAUUUUAUGUUUGUGAAAUGGACACUAACUUUAUAAAUAAUAAUAAAUUACACGCAUUCAUAUUAAUUUUUUUUUGUUUAAAUAUUUAGAGUAUCACUCAAUAAUAGAUUGUAUUUUAUGCAUUUAACAUUAUUCAUUUUAAAAUUAAUUUUUUAUGUGAUAAAUCUUGCAUACAAUAAGUUUGAUUUCAUGUAAAACUUCAAGUUCAUAUAAAAUAUUUAUUGUAUAAUAUAACUUAUACAUAUAAUAUUUAAUUAGAGUAUUGUGAACAAAGUAAUUUGAUAUUGGUGCUCAUUCGAUAAAAUAAUCAAAAAACUCGUUUUCAAAUUCGACAUAAUCAAAACUCGUGUUCCAAUUCGACAUAAUUGUCGAACUUACCAAUUUACCUGUGAUCAUGUUCUGAAAAGAUUUAUUUAAUUUGUAUUUUAAUUUCAAAGUAUACAUGACUAUGCUUCAUUUUUAUCAUCAUGAUUAUAAUAUUAUAAUUAAUUAGCUUAGUUUAUAAUAUUAUCACAAAUUAAUAAAGUAAGGACUUAUUCUUCUUGAAAAUAGGUCAUAUUUUUUUGAAUAUAAAUGUUGAAGAGUUGUUUCAUAUUCAUUUUUCAGGAAUUUUUUUUUUUAUGUAUUUUAUGAAAAAUAAACUCUCAAUAUUAAAAAUUAAAAUUAAUCAAACGACAUCUUUAUUUAUACCCAAUCAUGUAUUCAUUUUCCUCGUAGUAAACAUUUUGAAUCAGAUUUUGAGGUAAAUGGCUCGAGGCUAAUAAAAGCAAGUAUGCCCUUCACUUUCUAAUAUAGAAACACUUUUGAGUAUAAAUAACUAAUGUGACAUAGACUACACUUCAGUAUCAAAUUUUCUUACAGCCUUCUCCUGCUAACUCAACAUAUCAGAAUAUCAGAGAGAAUCCCACAUACCCCUUUGCAAGAAAUGGCUAUCACCAGAAUAAAUCUUCCACCUCUCUUACGCGCCGCCAUCUCCCAUCGCGAUGCCACCGCACUCCACCCUCCCCACAUCCCCCACCACUACUCCCACAACUCUGCGACGUCCUUUCUCCGCUCUCACCCUCCCAACAUCCUUCUUUCCAACCCCCACUUGUUCUCCCCCUUCCUUUACCACCGCGUACGGCCACGCGCCGCCGCGUAUCCCAACCCUUUAAGCCUCAGCAUUUCAAAUCAACCCUUGGUCUCCCGGAGCCUGCACACACGCGCCACCGUUCUUCACAAGCGUCGAAGAACUGACAACAUCUUGCGUUACGCCUUAACUUUCAGUUGCAUUGCAACAGCAGGAGGGAUCAUCCUCUGGUACAAAAAUCUACAAAAACCAAGAAUUUUCACAACUUUAAAUCAUAAACUGGAGUUUAGGUUUAUGGGCAUAAUACCACAUAUGUACCGUAAGGGCCACUGCGUAGUCGUUGAGGGUCUGGCUCGACCUGGUGCUAAAAAUGUUAGACACAAUGGUCCUUGGAAAUUCUUUAUCUCAG